AAAAAAGAUAUUUUGAAAAAUGUAUGAAACCUGUAACCAUUGACCUCCAUAGUAUUUGUUUUUCCUACUAUGGAAGUCAGUGGUUACAGGUUUCCAGCUUCUUUCAAAAUAUCUUCUUUUGU
rnacentral:miRNA from 1 species